rnacentral:lncRNA from 1 species
CGGGGCUGAACUUGCACUGCAGGGCAUAGCGGUUGUGUGCUGGGAUCUUGGUCUUGGGGAUCAGCUGCGUUACCUCCUCUCCGAUGCCACCCGUCAGGUUCCACACGUAGCAGUUUCCCGAGCUGUUGACAGCUGCCAUGUAGCUGGCAUCAGGGUCAAUGUGCACAGAGUUCACGGAGACUUCAGGCUCUGGAAUCAGCUGCUCAUUGUGGUCUGUUUUCAGGUCCCAGAUAUGAAUGGCCCCGCUCUGGUCACCCACAAUUAGCUCAGCCUGAUUGGGGUGCAGGCAGACGCAGUUAAUGGGAGCAUUCACUUGGAAGAUCCGCUGGCACUGCAGGUUACGAGACCUGAGGUCCCAUAUCCGUGCCAUGCAGUCCUCCCCACCCGUGUACAUCCAGCGCCCGUCCUCGUGGAAGCCCACGGAGGUGAUGUUCUUGCUCACACCAUCGUAGUUGAUGACGGGGUUGGGGUUGUUGGAGUUGAGGUCAUACAUGCGGAUGUGUUGGUACCCUGCGGCCGCAAUCAUGCUGCGGUCGGGCGUGAUCUCCAGGGCGUUCACCUGGGAGUCCUGGUGCUGCACGGUGCGGGUGCAGAUGCCGCUGUGCGCUUGCCAGAAGCGCACCGUGUGGUCGUACCCCGCGGUGGCCAGGAUGACGGGGUCGCUGCCCACCGUGCCCUGUGCCGCGUUCAUGGCGGCGGCGCCGCGGGGACCCGCUCAGGGCGGGCCCGGCCCGGUGGCGGCCGGCACGGACGGCACGGGAGGCUCUGCGC